rnacentral:rRNA from 1 species
CCUACGGGAGGCUGCAGUGGGGAAUAUUGCACAAUGGGGGAAACCCUGAUGCAGCGACGCCGCGUGAGUGAAGAAGUAAUUCGUUAUGUAAAGCUCUAUUAGCAGGGAAGAAAAUGACGGUACCUGAGUAAGACGCCCCGGCUAACUACGUGCCAGCAGCCGCGGUAAUACGUAGGGGGCAAGCGUUAUCCGGAUUUACUGGGUGUAAAGGGAGCGUAGGCGGCAGUGCAAGUCAGGAGUGAAAGGCGGGGGCGCAAACCCCGGACUGCUCUGGAAACUGUACGGCUGGAGUGCAGGAGAGGUAAGUGGAAUGCCUAGUGUAGCGGUGAAAUGCGUAGAUAUUAGGAGGAACACCAAUGGCGAAGGCGGCUUACUGGACUGUAACUGACGUUGAGGCUCGAAAGCGUGGGGAGCAAACAGGAUUAGAUACCCUUGUAGUC